rnacentral:rRNA from 1 species
UACAGAGGGUGCGAGCGUUGUUCGGAAUUACUGGGCGUAAAGCGCGUGUAGGCGGCUGUGCAAGUCGGGUGUGAAAGCCCCGGGCUCAACCCCGGAACUGCCCUCGAAACUAGGUAGCUAGAAUCUUGGAGAGGCGAGUGGAAUUCCGAGUGUAGAGGUGAAAUUCGUAGAUAUUCGGAAGAACACCAGUGGCGAAGGCGACUCGCUGGACAAGUAUUGACGCUGAGGUGCGAAAGCGUGGGGAGCAAACAGG